CCCAGGGACACUGGGCAGCGGGUAAGGGAGGGUGGGCCAGGGCAGGGCCGGGGCGGCGGCCCUGCGAGAGGGGGGCAGGCAUGGUGCGCGUCUUCAGGAGGGACCAGCUGACCCUCCACCCUCAGCCCUGCUGGUCUCUCCUGGGGCCCAGCCUGGAGGGUGGGCGCUUCCCUGGGAGCCUCGAGGGGGCUCAGCACCCGCCAGUCAGCGGCUCGACACGGCUCCACGUGGGGCAGGGCGGGCAAGCUGGCCCCGUGCCAACCAGGGCCAGGAGCCUGGGGGGCGAUCCCCAUGCGGGUGACGGCCACCGCGGGGACAUCCAGGGUGCCGCAGCCUCUAGCCUGGCCCUGCAGCCCCUCCUCGGACCCGCGGUCCCCCGCCCGCCCCCUUGACCUCUGCCUGGACGGCAGCCAGGCCGGCCCGAGGGAUGGGGGCAGGGGCAGGGGUGGGGGAGGUAUCCGUUUAUUUCACCGCGUGGGGGGAGGCCGAGCCCCUCUGAGAACAGGGGGAGGGCGUGGAGGGCCCGAAGGGUCUGGAUGUGGGGUCUCUCCCCCGGGGACAGGGCCACCCUGAGGAUGCCCAUUAGCCGCCGCCUGGCCCGAGGCUGCUUCAUGGCGGGGGGGGGGGNNNNNNNNNNNNNNNNNNNNNNNNNNNNNNNNNNNNNNNNNNNNNNNNNNNNNNNNNNNNNNNNGGGGGGGGGGGGCCGUGGGCCGGGGCCGUGGGUCCAGGCUUCGUCCAGUUUUGAGCUUUCCUGCGCCCCCUGGUCCCUGGGGGGCUCUCAGCUCCCGGGCGCCGGGAAGAACCCUUAGUUGCCGUGGUUUCCCCGGUCACAGAACAACAGCUGUGGAAACAGCAACACGGAGGGGGACGGUCCCCAAGGAGCCGGGUCCUCACGCUGGCUCCCCGCGCCCGGGCCGCGUGGCCACGCAGUCCUCGCCUCUGCUGCGUGCGCUCCGACUUAUUUCAAGCUUUGACCUAAAUUUCAUACGUUGUUUCUGAAAGCAAAGGAUCCCCAAGCCGUGACCCAUCAGCCCGCAGGCCUCGGACCCCGGGCUCUCUGCACCUGCUGCUCCAGGGCCAGGGCCACCAACCUCCUGUGUCCACCCCGCGGGACUGCCCUGGCCACCGCUCUCCACCGCCUGUCACUCCCCUCCCCGGCCCCACGCUGCCUGCGGUUCCCUCUGCCACCGGAGGGCCUGUGUCACCAAGGUGGGGAUGCUGCCCCCCGCCCCCGUCGUCCCACUCGCCAGGACCAGGACCGGGACCAGCAGGGACAGGGCCCUGCCCCUUGCUUCCCCACCACUGCCCGCGGCACCACAGGCCGCCAGGAGGUGCUGCGUGUCCCAGCAGUCGGGCCGGGGCUCCCCAGCCUCCUGCACGCGCACACGCACACGUGGGGCUGGAAACGGGGGUGCGAGGGGACGACAGUCGGAUCCGUUGUUUCAAAAUUCAUGAAAACCAACCAAAAAAACAACAACAAAAAAAACAAAAAUUCAUGAAAACCUAUGCUCCUGAGGCAGCAGGCGGGCAUGGGGGGGCAGGCCCUGCGGUCAGGCGUCUGCCCACGGGGACACCCCCCCCCCCCCCCGCAGCAGCGCUCCCAGGCCCCGGCCGAGCUGGGCACCGCGUGUCGCAGCCCCACACUCCCCACUGGGUGUCGCCCAUCUCCGGUCCGGUCCGGAAGGAGAGUCCACGUGGUGGGGGUUGGGCCAGCCCGGGGGCGGGAGGGGCAGUGGGAUCCUUAGUUCCCCAUUUUACAAAUGAGGAAGCCGGUAGACCCAGG
rnacentral:lncRNA from 1 species